rnacentral:lncRNA from 1 species
UCACUGGCUUUCACUGUUACCCAUAUUACAAAUAAUGUGAAAAGUCAGAUAUGGAGUGAACUGGAUAUUUAAAGGCAAUGCAUAACCCAAUGGUUUGUUGCAGUACUUGGGAAUGCUCCAUCCAGGAAGGUUAGUCAAUGGAAAUGAGAGAAAAAUUAGAGCUAAAGAAAGUGUGGUUGGAUUCUACAAAGAAACCGGGGGGAACUGUGGAGCUCCAAUGAUUCUAUGUGGCUGCUGGAAGAAGGGGCUGAUGUGGGAUGAAGACGGUGCAUUAACUGUCAGAGCAGGAUGAUCUCUUUGUAUACAAGAAUGAUAGGCAUCUAUUGUUCAGGGCCAAAGUCAACUGCUGCUGUUCCCAAAACGUCACAGAAGGAGAGAUUCAUAGUGCAAGUUAGGGUCUGAUCCGAAGCACUACAGACUUGGGAAGAGAAUGUAGGGAGUGGGUGGGUGGGUAAUUCUCAUGUUCAAGAUUGGUGAACACAUUUUUCAACCCAGCUAAAAACCACAGAAACCUCAUUCUACUGCAAUUAUCUGGGCACUU